CUGUAACGCAUGUGAAUUGAUGUGAUCAUGUCAAUCUUUAUUUAUAUAGUUUUUUUUUUUCAUUAGGAUGGUCAUAAGCAAUGUAGCCCCAGGGGCACGGUGGCGUGGGUUUCAGCCUCUUUGUUUGGUGGUGCUCACACUAUUACUUCUUUUUUGUUUUUUAAGUCCUCAUAAGGUGUGAAAGUAAUCGAAUAAUUUUGUUUGUCUGCUCACCUGUGCCUUGCAUAUUUCAGCUACCUGGCUUCGCACUUGCAGAUAGUUGUCAGAGGAUUUAUAAGAUUUUGUAAGAAUAUCAAUUGCUUCCUCGGUCGGUAUUACUCCAGCUAAACCUUCUUCGAUAUCCUGUUGAUAACAAAAGCCUAUAAGAUCUUUCAUUAACUUUUUUUUUUUCUUUUUGUCAGGUUUGUGUUGAAUUGGAUAAGUCACUUCACCUAAAAGCGUGCACGCAAGCAUGCAAGCAAGUAUACAAUAAAGAAAAAAAUCUUACCUCCUGGAAAUCUUUGUUUAUAGUUUUAAGAAAGUGAUCGGAUGGAUUCUGGAGG
rnacentral:lncRNA from 1 species